ACAUCACAGCCCACGGGCAGCAUCACAGGGCUGGCUUUGAUGCCAAGACAUGUGGAGUGUGUUGCAGGGAACAGCUCCUGAACAAAACUGGCCUUGGUGGAGACCUAACACCUUGGGGCAGCAGCAGGCUCUGCACAGGCAACCUGGUGACUUUUCCGAUUACACUAGAGACUGAGAAGAGGAGUUGAUGCUUCCCAAGGCACAGGCUCCUCCUAAGAUAAGUGAACACUGACAUUUUGGGGAAUACUUCUCUGGAAGUUUUCAUUUGGACAAGCCUCUGGCUUCUGUUGUGCUCCAGUGAU